UGGGGAAUAUUGCACAAUGGGCGCAAGCCUGAUGCAGCCAUGCCGCGUGUGUGAAGAAGGCCUUCGGGUUGUAAAGCACUUUCAGCGAGGAGGAAGGUGGUGAACUUAAUACGUUCAUCAAUUGACGUUACUCGCAGAAGAAGCACCGGCUAACUCCGUGCCAGCAGCCGCGGUAAUACGGAGGGUGCAAGCGUUAAUCGGAAUUACUGGGCGUAAAGCGCACGCAGGCGGUUUGUUAAGUCAGAUGUGAAAUCCCCGGGCUCAACCUGGGAACCGCAUUUGAAACUGGCAAGCUAGAGUCUCGUAGAGGGGGGUAGAAUUCCAGGUGUAGCGGUGAAAUGCGUAGAGAUCUGGAGGAAUACCGGUGGCGAAGGCGGCCCCCUGGACGAAGACUGACGCUCAGGUGCGAAAAGCGUGGGGAGCAAAACAGGAUUAGAUACCCUGGUAGUCCACGCUGUAAAACGAUGUCGA
rnacentral:rRNA from 1 species